GUCUUGGCUCAACCCACUGAGUCUACGGCUCUAGAUCAGGCCAGUUCAGCUAGCCUGCCUGCUGCCUGUGCUCUGCAGAUUGAGGAUUGGCUGCACAGUGGUGCUUAACACCAACCACACAGCAUACUGUCGGUCGAUGGAGACAUAUUAGGCGUGCACAGCGUUUCAUUAAUACAGAGCUGUAUGUGGCUGCUGUUCUCAUUUUGCCUUUGUAUGCGGAAUGAACUGAGGUGCUUCUUCUACUGCCUUCUGAACAUACUGCUGAUUCUUCUAUGGACACAGAUUGAGGUGCGGUGCCCCGUGCAGACAGAGUAAAGUGGAGAGAGGAAGAUGCCAGCCCCACCUCCCCACACCCCCAGGGCCUCCCCCUCCUCCACCUUAGUUCUG